GACGAACGCUGGCGGCGUGCUUAACACAUGCAAGUCGAACGGAGUUUCUUGGAUCAAGACUUCGGUCAAGUGAAUUGAAGCUUAGUGGCGGACUGGUGAGUAACGCGUGAGGAACCUGCCUUUCAGAGGGGGACAACAGUUGGAAACGACUGCUAAUACCGCAUGAAGCAUUCGGGUCGCAUGGCCUGAAUGCCAAAGAUUUUAUUGCUGAAAGAUGGCCUCGCGUCUGAUUAGCUAGUUGGUGAGGUAACGGCCCACCAAGGCGACGAUCAGUAGCCGGACUGAGCGGUUGACCGGCCACAUUGGGACUGAGAUACGGCCCAGACGCCUACGGGAGGCAGCAGUGGGGAAUAUUGGGCAAUGGACGCAAGUCUGACCCAGCAACGCCGCGUGAAGGAAGAAGGCUUUCGGGUUGUAAACUUCUUUUAAGAGGGAAGAGUAGAAGACGGUACCUCUUGAAUAAGCCACGGCUAACUACGUGCCAGCCGCCGCCGUAACAC
rnacentral:rRNA from 1 species